GUCGUUUCUGGCGAGUCCAUACCCCAUUUUGUACACGCGCAACUCCAGUUCUUUCUUCGCUUACCGUGGGUGGUUGGGGUGUUUAUCGGUGAGUUGGUGGGUUUAGGGGCUUUGGCACUGUCUUUGCUUCGAUUUUCUUGGCCGUAGGUCUUGCUUUUUUGUAGCUUCCUGUAUUUGCAGACGAUCUUGAGUGAAGAAAGCGAGAAUGAAGAACAGACGUGCUUCGACUGCCUCGGGCGUCGAAUCAGACCCGAUUUCUUUGAUCAGCUUGCAGGUUUUUGACAUGACUGGAUAUGUAAUAAAUGAUUUCAGAUUCACUACAAGACAACAAAUGGGUUGGGAUUAUUGGGUUGAGGUGAACAAACAGGGCAAUCGAUGUCAGGCUUUCAAGCUGCGGCGGGUGGAAGCUGAUAAUGUUGUUAUAGUGACCAAUAUGAUAGGCAAAGGAAAUGGAUGUUGUUUGGGUAGCUACUGCUGGUGUGGAUGGCCAACUGUGGUUGUAAUGUCCUCAACUCUUCAUUUUGUAGCAAAACAAAGAAGUUUACCAGCAUUUCGAUGGAGACUGGUGGCUUACUAUGAAUUUGGGAUAAAGAAUGGCAGGGAGAUCAUAACUGUGUUCUCCUUUGGGGUGGAUGACAUAUUUUCAAAAGCUGCAGAAGAACAUGAUUUCUCAGAGGUUGCUUCUCCAAGCAUUGAAUGUCUCCAAUGCUUCCUUCCUUUGUUGCUGUGGAAGGUUAGUGUGCAUGUCUGUGUAUAUUGCUUCAAAUUAUAUGAUUUUCCAUCAUGGGUGACCUUUUUUUCUUUGAUUUCUUUUGAGGGAAUGACAAGAGUUUUAGAAGCCGCAGAAGAAGAUCAUGAUUGAAGUCUUCGAGAGGAUCAAACAUGGACUACUACACAUUCAUAUUGCUAUACGAACAAGUGAUGUCUACGAAACACACGGUAAUUCAACCUGAAACACAGUUCAAGACUCUUAACCCCAAACACAGUGCCAUACUCACGAGAACGAGUCCGCAGCAAUUCAACCCGAAACAUAGUUCAAGACUUAACCCCAGACAUAGUUCCACACAAUUUCCUCACAAUUUUCCUACUCGCUGGUGUGGGCUUCGUCUGGGAUGAAGAGGAGUCGUUGAUUUGUUGGACAUUUGAUCCAGCUGUUGCUUUACCCUGUUGAAGGUCUUUCUCGAACCUCAGCUCGCAGGUACAGUUCAUGCACCUGCUGAUGCCAAUUUUUCUGACCUUCUUAUUUUCGUCGUCUUCGUUCCAGAACAUCCUCACCUCUACAGUUUCGGUGUCUUCAUCCUGAUGAUCAGGUGCGCAAUCAACUUCGUCAUAUGAUUUCCUCAGUUUGUUACGGGUGAUUGGCGGAUUUCGCUGUUGCUUUCUCUUAUUGAUUACGCAAAAGAAAGAAGUUUACCAGCAUUUCGAUGGAGAUUAGUGGCUUACUAUGAAUUUGGGAUAAGGAAUGGCGGGGAGAUCAUAACUGCGUUCUCCUUUGUGGCCUGCACUUUCCUUAUGCUCUUACUUACUUCGGUUAUGUUCGACCAGCUAAUGCAACUUAGCAUAAGAGGACUCAAUUCCAAGAACAGCACUUCAC